rnacentral:lncRNA from 1 species
GUGGGGCAGAGGGCAGCCUGAGCAUCUGCAAACAGAGUGGCUCACAGAGAGGACACCUGCCCUGAGGACACCUGCAGGAGAUCCCUACAGAGGAAGGGCUAGACCAGGCUCCAUCCAGCAAACAGGCAGGACAGCGAUGUCUUCCUGCAUGACAGAAGGGGAAACUGAGGCCCAGAGUGAUGCAGCCCGGGACCUCCCAGGACAAGGUCCAAGCUCUUACCUCAGAUACAAACUCAUCUGGAAGCAUUAAAACAAUGGAAGCAGGUGAGAGCAGAGAGAUCCCGAGCGCAGGUGAGGUGGGGUCCCUGAGGCGGGCUCAAAAGCUGCUUCCCAAGGCAGGGGGGCCCCUAUGUGCCCUCUGAGAGCACAGCCUGCAGACAGAGUCCAGACGUCUCAGGCAGGCCUUUGAGGCCUUCGUGUCAAAGCCCAGUUCUACCACAUCCUAGGGUUAUACUUUCGGCCUGGUGGGAGUCGCUGGUCCCCAGUUGACAGUGUCAUUGGGAAAGUCCAGUGGUAGACCCCGGCACAGCAGGCGCUCAGCAGUGCAGCAGUAUCAUUGCUUAGCCCCACCUCCCUUUCCAGACUCUGCACCCCUCCUCAGGCUCAGAGCAAGGGCCUGCCCCUGCCCCUCCACCGCCCCCUCCUCACUUACCCCUGCGACUCUGCCCAAGCAAGACCUCCCCCUGGAAUUCAUUCAUUUAUCAACUCAUUAUGCAGCCAGCCAGCCAUCGUUUCUUUUUUAUCCACUUUUUCUGAGGGCCUGCUGUGCGCCAGCUGCUGGAGACAUGAAGACAUCGAAGACCCCAGGCCUUGACCUCCAAGAGCCCCCAGUUUGGUGGAAGAAACAAACAAGGAGACUGCAAAACACACCCUGUGAUGGGGAGGGUUGAGGUGGCCAGUGGGAGAGGCGAGCUGGCAGGGCUCAGUGGUGAGGUGAAGGUGUGGGAGCAGGGACACAGCAUGAAGGAGUAGAUGGCCAGGUUGAGCUUUGCAGGCUCCAGGGGGAGGAUAAAGAGCUGACACCUGGAACGUGCUUGGAACAGCAGGUGCUCGGUCAGUGCAGCCACGACCAUCCCGUCCUGCAUCCCCACCAUGAACUUGGACCUUCUGGAAGGACCUUGCUUAUCCCAGCAUCCACACAUCCUUGACCAGACCUGGUCAACAUUUGCUUAGAACCGCCUGGCUGCUGGGAUGAGAAGAGACUGGAGAGAGACCACGAUGGAAGCCAGGAGGCCAACGAGGAGUUGGGGUAGUCCUCCAGGGAGACAUGAUGUGGCUUCAGCCCCAGUGGUGAUGGCGGGGUAGAGCCAGCAGGGUUCUGAACUGAGUGGAUGUGAAAUGAGGGAAAGAGGGAUGCUGCGGUCGGCAGAAUCGUGCCUCCCGCAAAGAUGCCCCAUCCUAACCCGUCACCCUUGACAGUGAGACCUCCACCACAAAGGGGACUUUGCAGGCAUGAAGGUUAAGGACCCUGAGAGGAGGAGAUGGCCCUGGACUGUCUGGCGGGCCCAGCAUCAUCACAAGGGUGCUUAUAAGUGGAGGAGGAGGCAGGGGGAGCCGAGCAGAUGUGAGGAUAGAAGCAGAGGUCGGAGGGACGUGCUGUUGGCUUGAGAUGGAGGAGGACCUAUGAGCCAAGGAGCAUGGGCGGCCUCUGGAAGCCAGAAAGGGCAAGGCCUCUUCCCGGAGCCUCCAGCAGAACCCAGCCCCGCUGCCACCUCGACUGCAGAACGGUGACACCGUGUCCGAUUCCCGACCUCCAGAACCGUGAGAUAACACGUGUGCUGUUUUAAGCCACUGCAAUUGUGGUAUUUGUCACAGCAGCCAUAGGAAACUGUACGGGGGUUAAAGAGGACCUGCUGACCUCUGAGCUCACACUGAAGCCUCCUGGAAUGCUGUGGGUUGUGAGCUGGGAUGAGAACGCAGCAUGGAGAUGAAAGACGCAUCCACCCAGGAAGGCCCACUGGCAUCGCAAUCUCAGGGAAGAUUCCCAGGCUGAAAAAAGAGAAAGUGGCUGGGGUGGCACUGAAUGCCCCACGUCAAAGAAAUGGCACCCAAGCCGUCCGUCAGUCCCUCACCUGCCACACAGACAGCACCUUGGACCCAGCAAGAUGUCACUCACCACAUUGAUGCUGUCCACAGGCAUCGCCUUGCUUUUGCAGCUCUGUGUGAGAUUUGUCAGCUUGGUUUGGGUCUGGGGCUGUAUUAGAGCUGUCAGCCUAGGAGCCUACCCUAGUUUUGUGUCUGCACUAUUUCCAAAGCACUGGAAUAAAAGGCAUUUUAACCAA